ensembl:lncRNA
UGGGAACAUAGGUACAAAUGCUAACAUAGCUAGGGUCUGUCAAUUUAGAUGGGAACAUAGGUACAAAUGCUAACAUAGCUAGGGUCUGUCAAUUUAGAUGGGAACAUAGGUACAAAUGCUAACAUAGCUAGGGUCUGUCAAUUUAGAUGGGGGCAUGAGUACAAAUGCUAACAUAGCUGGGCUCUGUCACAUUAGAUGGGAACAUAGGUACAAAUGCUAACAUAGCUGGGCUCUGUCACAUUAGAUGGGAACAUAGGUACAAAUGCUAACAUAGCUAGGGUCUGUCACAUUAGAUGGGAACAUAGGUACAAAUGCUAACAUAGCUGGGCUCUGUCACAUUAGAUGGGGGCAUGGGAACAAAUGCUAACAUAGCUAGGGUCUGUCAAUUUAGAUAGCGACAUGGGUACAAAUGCUAACAUAGCUAGGGUCUGUCAAUUUAGAUGGGGGCAUGAGUACAAAUGCUAACAUAGCUAGGGUCUGUCAAUUUAGAUAGCGACAUGGGUACAAAUGCUAACAUAGCUGGGCUCUGUCACAUUAGAUGGGGGCAUGGGAA